rnacentral:lncRNA from 1 species
AGUCAUUGGAUAGUUACAAACAGCCAUCUUUUGAAAGCCAUCAAGGACUACUUUGUCAUCAGACCAGUUGGAUCACAUCUGGACUGCUUGUCAUCAACUUGCUGCAAUCGUUUUAUGUGUUGUCACAAGUAUAGACAACCUUUUCUGAGGUCUGGCCUUUAGCUGAUAACAUAGCAUCCAUUAUUAAUCCAGAGGAAGACAGACUGUGAGAAGGCCUAACUGGCACUGUUCUGAGUCAAUGAUUCUUCACCUUGCAAGAUAUCACAGUGGAUGAGGAACUCCAGAUGACACAAAAAACCCAAAAAGCCAACAACCCAUGUUGUUAGACUGGAGAAGCUAAAUCAGGCAAGGCAAGAGUAUGUGUGAAGAAAGAAAUGCUUAAUGAACAUUCGAUAGAAAGCACCUUAUGACUGCAGCUUUGACUGACUUCAGAGUCUCUGACGGUGACCUCUGGCAGAAAGGUUCUCCAACAAGUGUAUGUCAGCCCAGGAGGACUGCUGUUGACCAUGCAGGCUGCAAACACUGAGAGCAGGAGAGCCAUCGAAACCAGGUCAAGGACUGUGACAAAUGCUUUUUAAUGAUGCUAAAUAUGCCUCAGAUCUUGCUUUGUCCAGAUAUUAGUGCCUUCUCCUUUCUAAACUAUUUCCCCCCUAAACCUAAAUGCAUCUAAUGGCAUAUGUUAAAUAACCUUAUAUGUAGUUAAACAUGGGGAAAGGGCAACUCCUUCAUUUAUACAAAAAAUUUGAGUGUGGGUUGAAAGAACUCACAAGCUGGAAGGACAUAGUUUACAUUUCACUCCACAAUGUUGUUAAAAUCAGUUUGGAGGCAAAACUUACAGACUUCUACAGGAAACAGUUUUUCUACUAUUUAACUUAUAUUUACAACAUCCUUCGAGAUCUUCAGAAAAAAUAACAAAACAACCAAAAAACCAAACCAAACAACAACAACAACAACAAGCUAUUUCAAGUCAUUUGAAGUGUAAGGCAUGCUGUUACAUUAUUCCUGUAUUGUAAAUAUCUCAGAUUUUAUCCUGUCUUUUUUGCCUGCUUGGUGCAAAUCUGAGAAAGAGCUGAAAGAACAGCAUGGAAAAUAUUUGUGUGUUACCUUAGUAAACUGCAAGCAACAGAGCCAAUCCACUUCCAUAGAGCAUGACACAUAUAAGCCAUGGGAAAGCAGAGCAGUUAAGCUAUCCUUUUCCUUAUUGCUAGGGUUGUUUCCUGACUCUGCUUUCCCCAGCUCAUCUUGUGAACACUGAUAAAGAGUUUUGCCUAAAAUCAUGAGACAUACCAAGUAGACAGACAGAAAAUCUAUUAGCAUUGGACAUCCACAGUAUCACAAUUGUUUGGUUAUCCGCUCAAGGCACAUGUCUAGAUAUUAUAUGGCUCAGUCAUCACGACAAACAUAAUUGAAUAAAGGGCAGACAAUAGAGACA